UACGUAGGGUGCGAGCGUUAUCCGGAAUUAUUGGGCGUAAAGGGCUCGUAGGCGGUCUGUCGCGUCGAAAGUGAAAACCCAGGGCUUAACCCUGGGCCUGCUUCCGAUACGGGCAGACUAGAGGUAUGCAGGGGAGAACGGAAUUCCUGGUGUAGCGGUGAAAUGCGCAGAUAUCAGGAGGAACACCGGUGGCGAAGGCGGUUCUCUGGGCAUUACCUGACGCUGAGGAGCGAAAGUGUGGGGAGCGAACAGG
rnacentral:rRNA from 1 species